CCUACGGGAGGCAGCAGUGAGGAAUAUUGGUCAAUGGACGAGAGUCUGAACCAGCCAAGUAGCGUGAAGGAUGACUGCCCUAUGGGUUGUAAACUUCUUUUAUAAGGGAAUAAAGCUCAGCACGUGUACCGUUUUGCAUGUACUUUAUGAAUAAGGAUCGGCUAACUCCGUGCCAGCAGCCGCGGUAAUACGGAGGAUCCGAGCGUUAUCCGGAUUUAUUGGGUUUAAAGGGAGCGUAGGUGGGCUGUUAAGUCAGUUGUGAAAGUUUGCGGCUCAACCGUAAAAUUGCAAUUGAUACUGGGAGUCUUGAGUACAGCUGAGGUAGGCGGAAUUCGUGGUGUAGCGGUGAAAUGCUUAGAUAUCACGAAGAACUCCGAUUGCGAAGGCAGCUUACUAAACUGUGACUGACAUUGAUGCUCGAAAGUGUGGGUAUCAAACAGGAUUAGAUACCCCAGUAGUC
rnacentral:rRNA from 1 species